GACGAACGCUGGCGGCGUGCCUAAUACAUGCAAGUUGAGCGCUGAAGGUUGGUACUUGUACCAACUGGAUGAGCAGCGAACGGGUGAGUAACGCGUGGGGAAUCUGCCUCUGAGCGGGGGACAACAUUUGGAAACGAAUGCUAAUACCGCAUAAAAACUUUAAACACAAGUUUCAAGUUUGAAAGAUGCAAUUGCAUCACUCAAAGAUGAUCCCGCGUUGUAUUAGCUAGUUGGUGAGGUAGAGGCUCAACAAGGCGAUGAUACAUAGCCGACCUGAGAGGAUGAUGAGCCACAUUGGAACUGAGAGACGGUCCAGACUACUACGGGAGGAAGCAGUGGGGAAUAUUGGACAAGGGGCGAAAGACUGAUCCAACCAUACUGCGUGGGUGAAGAAGGCAUUCGGGUUGUAAAGACAUUUGGUUGGGAAAGAAAAGCAGCAGGUUAAUACCCCGCUGUUCUGACGGGAACCAAAGAAUAAGCACCGGCUAACUUCGUG
rnacentral:rRNA from 1 species